rnacentral:rRNA from 1 species
AGAGUUUGAUCCUGGCUCAGAACGAACGCUGGCGGCGCGCCUAACACAUGCAAGUCGAACGAGAGGCUCUUCGGAGUAGUAAAGUGGCGAACGGGUGAGUAAUACAUGGGUAAUCUGCCUUUGAGCGGGGGAUAACCAGCCGAAAGGCUAGCUAAUACCCCAUACGCUUCCGGUCCUUCGGGUAAGGAAGGAGAGCUGCAUCGUGGAUGUGGCACUCGAAGAUGGGCCCAUGGCCUAUCAGCUUGUUGGUGGGGUAACGGCCUACCAAGGCAACGACGGGUAGCUGGUCUGAGAGGACGAUCAGCCACACUGGCACUGAGAUACGGGCCAGACUCCUACGGGAGGCAGCAGUGAGGAAUCUUGCGCAAUGGGCGAAAGCCUGACGCAGCGACGCCGCGUGGGGGAAGAAGGUUUUCGGAUUGUAAACCCCUUUUAGGAGGAAAGAUGGGGUGGUUCGCCACCCGGACGGUACCUCCAGAAAAAGCCACGGCUAACUUCGUGCCAGCAGCCGCGGUAAUACGAAGGUGGCGAGCGUUGUUCGGAUUUACUGGGCGUAAAGAGCACGUAGGCGGUUUAAUAAGCCCCUUGGGAAAGCUACGGGCUUAACCCGUAAAGGUCGAGGGGGACUGUUAAGCUAGAGGGCGGGAGAGGAGCGCGGAAUUUCCGGUGUAGCGGUGAAAUGCGUAGAUAUCGGGAAGAAGGCCGGUGGCGAAGGCGGCGCUCUGGAACGUCUCUGACGCUGANGUGCGAAAGCGUGGGGAGCAAACAGGAUUAGAUACCCUGGUAGUCCACGCCGUAAACGAUGGGUACUAAGUGUCGGCAGGUUACUGUCGGUGCCGCAGUUAACGCAGUAAGUACCCCGCCUGGGGAGUACGGCCGCAAGGUUGAAACUCAAAGGAAUUGACGGGGGCCCGCACAAGCGGUGGAGCAUGUGGUUUAAUUC